rnacentral:rRNA from 1 species
GACGAACGCUGGCGGCGUGCUUAACACAUGCAAGUCGAACGGAGAGGCCCUGCUUUUGUGGGGUGCUCGAGAGGAGAACGGGUGUGUAACCCGUGAGUAACCUGACCUUGACUUUGCGAUAACUUCAGGAAACUGGGACUAAUACCGGAUAGGAGUUCCUGCUGAUUGGUGGGGGUUGGAAAGUUUUGGCGGUUGGGGAUGGACUCGCGCGUUAUCAGCUUGUUGGUGGGGUAGUGGCUUACCAAGGCUUUGACGGGUAGCCGGCCUGAGAGGGUGACCGGCCCCAUUGGGGCUGAGAGACGCCCCAGACUCCUACGGGAGGGAGAGGUGGGGAAUAUUGCGCAAUGGGGGGAAGCCUGAUGCAGCAACGCCGCGUGCGGGAGGACGGCCUUCGGGUUGUAAACCGCUUUCGCCUGUGACGAGGCGUGAGUGACGGUAAUUGGUAAAGAAGCACCGGCUAACUACGUG